GCCAACUGGCAGAGGGCACAUGGGUGCCUAAGGGUUUCAGGGAUCCCCUGGUUCAGGCAUUCAUGGUUCUAGUUCUCCCAAGAGAGCCAUGGAAGUCAAUUUGCAUACUGAGUGAAAUGCUAAUGAAGAGACUGGUGCGGACUUCAAGAAGACAAAAUUAACAGGAAGAGGUGAACAGUGGGGGAAGGACCUUGUUUACAGGGCCAGAUUCUCCCAUCCAUGAUAAGGAAGAAGAAACGUCUCGCGGCGGUGGAGUACAAGAGUUGACAGGAGAGCGCUCGGGGGUUGAUUUAUCGCAUCUAGACUAGACACGAUAAAUCGAUCCCCACUGGAUCGAUCACUGCCCGCUGAUCCGAACCUGCAAUCUUCUACAGUCCCAGAGGGCUUUGCAGAUCAUGUAUAUCGGAAUCCCUUAAUCCACAAGUGCAAUGCAGCCAUGCUUGGGCUGGAACAUGACAGGUGUAUAACAGUACAAAGCAACACUACCUGCCACACUGUA